rnacentral:rRNA from 1 species
UACGUAGGGUGCAAGCGUUAAUCGGAAUUACUGGGCGUAAAGCGUGCGCAGGCGGCUUCUCAAGUCAGGGGUGAAAGCCCAGAGCUCAACUCUGGAAUUGCCUUUGAGACUGAGUGGCUUGAGUACGAGAGAGGUGAGUGGAAUUCCCAGUGUAGAGGUAGAAAUUCGUAGAUAUUGGGAAGAACACCGGUGGCGAAGGCGGCUCACUGGCCCGGUACUGACGCUGAGGUGCGAAAGCGUGGGAGCAAACAGG